ensembl:lncRNA
AGGAUUGCCUGCAGCUGGCCUCCACACCUGACUUUAAUCCUGACGCCCCAUAAAUGCCGGAAGUUUCCGCCCGUUCGGGGUCGCUGGCAUUUUCGUGAACUCUAUGCACGAACUUGACCUUGUUUUGUGUUAUGUGUUUUGAGUUCUGGCAAUCGCCACACGCCUACGGGUUUGUUUAUGUUCUUUAUUUAAGUUUAAAUCGUUUUCGGCCACCGCGCCAGUCUUUAUUUGUAUUUCUUUGUUUGUUAAUAAAAACCCCUUCCCAGUAUGUCAGACCUCUGCGCUUCCUUCCCCCGUAAGUCCGUAGUCGUGACAGAAUGCCAGCGACCCACCCAAAAGCGCAGAGGUAGAAAGCAGAGGAGAAGAAACGCCGCGAAGGACGCAGCCCGGCGCGGCGAACGCGGACGCCAGGGGAGAGACGCGGCGCCCGUUCUGGUGGAGCGUUUUCUCCCCGAGAAGCCGUGGUACGCGGCGCCGCGUGAUGACGUCACCCCCGGGAAACUCCGCGAAACCCGGAAGCGACAACGUCGGCGGGUGAGUGGGCGGAGCGAGGACGUUGGCGUCGGCAGCAGCGAGGAAGUGACGUGGGCAGCGAGCGCAGAAGAUGCGACCCCCACGAUCUUCGCCAUGUCGAGCCAAGAACUCUGCGCUCUGCUGGCAAGGCUCCCCGUGGACGACACGGACGACGACGAGAGCACGGGAGACGAGAGUUGGGCUCCGCCCAUCGCGCCAGUCUGCGAUCGUCGCAAGGUCCGUGGGGACCCACGUCACUUCCAGGGGGGUGAGAAGCGGCAACAACAACAACGGCGGCGUUCCUCCAGCGAGGAGGUGGGCAGCCUCCAGCCCGAAUGGCCAGAGUACUGCCCAUGGGAGCUUAUCGCGCCAUGGGUCCAGGAUGUCCGCAGGGUGGACGACCCUUGGAGUCACCGGUGGGAGGACACGGAUGACGAAAGCGAUGAUGACGUGGAUUUUCGGUGGGCGGUCGGUGCCGGGAUGGCUCCGCCCAGCGUGCGCGUCCGAGAUCAUCGCGGCGUCCGUGAUGACCCAUGUGACUUCUGGAGGUACGAGGUGGACACGGACGACGACCAGGAUGACGCCGUUUGGGCAGUCGGUGCCGGGAUGGCUCCGCCCAUCGCGCCCAUCCAGGAUCGUCACGAGGUCCGUGGAGACCCACGUCCCUCCCAGCAGUGUGAGGAAAGCUGGUGGAAGAGGGCGACGGGAGGUCGCCAGCCAGCAACUGCGCUGCCGGGACUGCCUCGCAGGGAAUCCUCCAUUCCUGCUCCAGUCGCCGACCCGCCUUCCCUCUGCCCGGACGUUCCCCAGCGAAAUGGCAGCGCAGCACCAGCGUCCACACCUGCUGGAGAAGACGUCCACCCCCCUCCACACCACACACCUACCACCAUCUCCAGCGACGUGCCCAGCCCAGUGUGGGACCGCCCAAUUGUCCCGGGACCCUUCAGUGGGGCAGCAGACACAGACGAGAUCACUACCAUCCUCACGUGUCUGACUGGAUCAGCAUGGGGCUGGAGCACAACCCUCUGGCAGCAGGGAGAGACAGACAGGAGUUUUCGGGACUUCCAACAGAGACUGAGGGCGGAGUUUGAUCGGCCUGAGCCAGGGAUCGAACUCUGCCCCUCCACCACAUCCAGUGCCAGUCAGGAUCCGGGGCAAGAAGACCCAGCACUGGUGGGCGACGAGAAGGUCGCUCCUCCCGAGAUCCUGGCUGUGCCCCCUGAGGAGGUCCCGGAGAGCCCAGAGAGGGAGCCAGACGACCCUCUCUUCUGUCUGUCUCUGUCUGUGUGUGUCUGUGUGGCAUAUGUGUCCGUAUGUCGCCCCCACUUCCCCUCUUUGUGUCCACCAGAUGGCGACCCAGCCGCGGAGCCGAACCCCAGGGAGGAGGUUCCUGACCCGAAUGUGCUGGUCCAAGGCGAGGUGGACAAGCCCCAAGGUACCCCCUAAGUCCAGCCGGGGGGGGUGCUCC